CUGCAGCUUUCAGUCAGCUCCCGCCGCUGCGGAGCUGUUGGCAGGGCAGGAGCGGCGCCGGGGCCUGGCUCCGAGGACCGGGAGUGUCACCAGAGGGAGGCCCCCGGGGGUCCCUCAGGCGUGCCUCCUGCUCUCGCCGGGCGUGCUUGUUAGCGCUGGCUAGCGCCUCUCGUUGGUCAGUCGCCCCCGGUUUAUUUGCUCUUCCCAAAAACGUUCGCUGACCUUGGAGACGCUGGGGAGUUUACCUGGAGGAUGUGUUGUGGCUGUCGCGGAGUGCGCUUUGUUCCCUCUAUAGGCUGCGAUGCUCUGCACUGUGUUUUCAGUCGUAACCCUGAAGCUCCCCACAUUUUCAGGAGAUAAUAGCAAAGAUAUCAGAGCUAGCAGAAAUGUGCAGAAGGUUUACGUUUGAUGCUGAAGCCUUACCAUUUGCACCGUCCUCUCAUUUUCUUGGAGUAUUUUGGCAUACAAAAUAAUCUGCCAGCACUCUCGAAACACGCCUGUUCGGAAGGCAUCGUGACUGACAGGAGGGGGAUGCGAGAACCUGAAAAAAAGCGGGGAAAAUGCAACAUCUGGCAAACAGAAAAAACAGCAUCAGAGAUGAGUGAAUUCAAGGGUAAAAUGGUGCGUGUGUGUAAUCUAAAUUCCCCCAAACCCCUUCUGUCUUGAAUUCCUACCUGUAGGUAAGUGGCCAGUGCUGAAAGAGUACCGGUACUGAUCCUGUAGAUAACAUUUUAGGAUGGCAUGAUCUAGAGUAGUGGUUAAGUAGCAGUACAGGUUGCUCAGAGAGGUUGUUUAGUCUCAGUCCGUGGAUAUUUUCAGAGCCUAACUGGAUGAGGCCUGGCACAACCUGAUCUGGCUGUGAAGCUGGCUGGCUUUGAUGGCCUCCAGAGGAUUCCUUCCAGCCUACUUUUUUUCCUGUGGUUCUGUGAAUACAUGUUCUGUGCCAGGUAGUUCCAUGGCUAGUCCUACGACAAAAUUAGUGUGUUGAACUUCACUGACUUUGUCUGGCCAGCCUGCAUAUUACCAUCUCACAUGAUGGCAAUCUGAAAGUGUUAUUUUCCUAAGACCCAGGAAAGUAUUUAAACACAUUCUUAUCUUUCAACUCAGGCAGCUGCUAAGCUGGUAUCCUACAAGACAGUGAUUUUCAUACAUCUACAUCUAAGAUGUGAAGUAAUUGUAGCUGUAGACGGGCAGCUUUGCCUGAGUCAGCAGUGUGUUGGCAAGUUCAUAAAAAUGAUGAAAACAAAGUUGUAGGCAGUACUUUCAAAACAUUGUUACUCUGAUGUCACCAGCCAAAAAAACAGGAAGUAGUUUGCCAAAACUCAGUCUGUUCAUAUUCUUAAGAGGACAUCUCCAUCUUAAAAUCUGUAACACCAGUAAAACCAGCUGCUGCUUUUUUGUGUGUCGUGACAGCUCAGAUUAAUGAAGCUAAGCCUCAGAUCUUGUCUCAUUUUUGCACAAGCAGAUUUGGAAAGUGAAAAUAACCCAGUUCCAUGGGCAGCGAACAGCUAAAACUUAAUCGUGUGGUAUUCAUUGCUGUCACUUCUGAGUAACUGAAGCCUCUUCAGUUUAAUUUUUUCAUAUAAUACUAACAGAUAAUUACCGUAGAGGCAAAAAGCACUACCUGUAUACCAGUGCCAAAGGACCUAGAUUAAGUGAUACAAUAUUCUUUAGAAAGAAGAUUCUUUCUGUUUCAAGGGGAUGUGUUUCUGCUUAUAAUGAGCUUCAGUGGCUGUACUGUUCUGCCAUGUCAUGAAGAAAGCAAGCUGAGAAAUAGAGAUUUCCCCUACAAAGCAGAAAAACAUAGGAAAAAUGUUCAUUAAAAAUUAACAUGUUAUUUAAAAUUAAAAAUUAUUUACUAUUAAAUGUUAAUUUAAAAGUAACAUUUUGGCAUCCCUCUUUUCUGACAAGAAACUAAAUAUGGGCCACUGGUAAAGAAAUAGCCAAGAAGGUCUUUCUAGAAUAAUUUGUAACAUUUGUGACAGGUGGUUUCUGUGCUAAAAACUUGCUGUAUGUCACUAUGGGGGAAGCAAUAUCUAAGGUACAGCAGAGAUCUGCUAAUGUUUGCUGAACUUAAAUGUUGUCUGCUGCUUUCGAGCCCUAAAAUAAAGUUUUAAGUUUUGAGUAGUCUUAAGAAUGCAGCAGUAACAUUAGACCAGAUUUCCAUAGGAAAAAAGAAGCCUUGGCUUGCUGCAUGUUUGAAGCGUCAGGGACAUGGAAAACAAGAGUAGUGGGCUAAAUUCUCCGGUUUGAUCAUGCCUCAAAAUGGCUAGAAGAAAGCACUCGAGAAUUUUGAGGUACCGGACUCAAGUUCACGGGUUGAUAGCCUCUGUGACGCAACUAUAUCUCUUCGUUCGAUGCCUGUGAGAAUAAUCUGGAGAGAAGACAAGGCACGGUAGAGCAAAAUCCUGCUAUUUGUGGAGGUGGACAGGCAGAAUGACCAUAGAUUUCCACAUACCCUCUCCACUAAGUGGAGAAUUGUCAGCUUGAUGUCGACAUUCACAGUGGUAUCGGGGAUAUGUUAUUAGGGUGUAUUACAUAAAACCCACCUCAAUGGUUGUCUUCCAAGAGUAAUAAUACACAGAAGUCCUAUACUCAAUUUAUUUAGAUUGAUUUAUAUGUCUCUAAACUACCCUCACUUUUCGUGGAGAACAGAUCCCAACAGCUUUGUUUCUUUACUGAUAAUUUCCCAGUACGGUUUUUCAAAGUUGCAAUCAGAGAAUUUCCCUUCUUUUUGUGAAAGUUUAUUUCCUUAUAUUGUAUAGAUUUUGAUAUGUACGUGUAUAUAUAUGUAUAU